rnacentral:rRNA from 1 species
CAGCUCUUGACAUGUCCCGUAUGGGGUCGAGAAAUCGGCUUCUUCAGUUCGGCUGGCGGGAACACAGGUGCUGCAUGGCUGUCGUCAGCUCGUGUCGUGAGAUGUUGGGUUAAGUCCCGCAACGAGCGCAACCCUCAUCUUCAGUUGCCAUCGGGUAAUGCCGGGCACUCUGAAGGAACUGCCGGUGACAAGCCGGAGGAAGGCGGGGAUGACGUCAAGUCCUCAUGGCCUUUAUGGGCUGGGCUACACACGUGCUACAAUGGCGGUGACAGAGGGAUGCGAAGGGGCGACCCUUGGCCAAUCUCUAAAAGCCGUCUCAGUUCGGAUUGUUCUCUGCAACUCGAGAGCAUGAAGCUGGAAUCGCUAGUAAUCGCGGAUCAGCAUGCCGCGGUGAAUA